CAGUGGGGAAUAUUGGACAAUGGGGGCAACCCUGAUCCAGCAAUGCCGCGUGUGUGAAGAAGGCCUGCGGGUUGUAAAGCACUUUCAGUGGGGAGGAAAAGCCUGAGGCCAAUACCCAUGGGUCUUGACGUUACCCACAGAAGAAGCACCGGCUAACUCCGUGCCAGCAGCCGCGGUAAUACGGAGGGUGCAAGCGUUAAUCGGAAUUACUGGGCGUAAAGCGCGCGUAGGCGGCUGACUAAGUCGGGUGUGAAAGCCCCGGGCUCAACCUGGGAAUUGCAUUCGAUACUGGUUGGCUGGAGUCUGGUAGAGGGGUGUGGAAUUCCAGGUGUAGCGGUGAAAUGCGUAGAUAUCUGGAGGAACAUCAGUGGCGAAGGCGGCACCCUGGACCAAGACUGACGCUGAGGUGCGAAAGCGUGGGUAGCAAACAGGAUUAGAUACCCUGGUAGUCCACGCCGUAAACGAUGAGAACUAGCCGUUGGGAGGAUUAGCCUCUUAGUGGCGAAGCUAACGCGAUAA
rnacentral:rRNA from 1 species